rnacentral:tRNA from 1 species
GGGGUUGUGGCUCAGAGGUAGAGUGCUCGCCUGGCAUGCAUGAGGCACUAGGUUCAAUCCUCAGCACCA